UCCGGUGGCUAUACCGGAGGGGCCACACCCGUUCCCAUUCCGAACACGGAAGUUAAGACCUCCAGGGCUGAUGAUACUUGUGCUGCGAGGCGCUGGGAAAGUAAGUCGCUGCCGGAU
rfam:Nitrospira bacterium SG8_35_1 WOR_8-12_8592, whole genome shotgun sequence.